rnacentral:rRNA from 1 species
CCGGGCGGCCGUAGCGCGGAGGUCCCACCUGACCCCAUGCCGAACUCAGAAGUGAAACGCCGUAGCGCCGAUGGUAGUGUGGGGUCUCCCCAUGCGAGAGUAGGGAACUGCCAGGC